rnacentral:tRNA from 1 species
UGUAGCUCAGUGGUAGAGUGUUUGCCUACUAUGCACCUGGCCCUGGGUUCAAAACCCGGCA